rnacentral:lncRNA from 1 species
AUGGCGAGGGGGACCCGGGCAGGGGGCGGGGCCUCGGGGGGGCGAGGGGGACCGGGCAGGGGGCGGGGCCUCGGGGUGGCGAGGGGGACCGGGCAGGGGGCGGGGCCUCGGGGUGGCGAGGGGGACCGGGCAGGGGGCGGGGCCUCGGGAUGGCGAGGGGGACCGGGCAGGGGGCGGGGCCUCGGGGUGGCGAGGGGGACCGGGCAGGGGGCGGGGCCUCGGGGUGGCGAGGGGGACCGGGCAGGGGGCGGGGCCUCGGGUGGCGAGGGGGACCGGGCAGGGGGCGGGGCCUCGGGGUGGCGAGGGGGACCCGGGCAGGGGGCGGGGCCUCGGGGUGGCGAGGGGGACCGGGCAGGGGGCGGGGCCUCGGGGUGGCGAGGGGGACCCGGGCCGGGGGCGGGGCCCCGGGGUGGCGAGGGGACCCGUGCAGGGGCGGGGCCUCGGGGUGGCGAGGGGGACCGGGCGAGGGGGACCCGGGCAGGGGGCGGGGCCUCGGGGUGGCGAGGGGGACCGGGCAGGGGGCGGGGCCUCGGGGUGGCGAGGGGGACCGGGCAGGGGGCGGGGCCUCGGGGUGGCGAGGGGGACCGGGCAGGGGGCGGGGCCUCGGGGUGGCGAGGGGGACCGGGCAGGGGGCGGGGCCUCGGGGUGGCGAGGGGGACCGGGCAGGGGGCGGGGCCUCGGGGUGGCGAGGGGGACCGGGCAGGGGGCGGGGCCUCGGGGUGGCGAGGGGGACCCGGGCAGGGGGCGGGGCCUCGGGGUGGCGAGGGGGUCCGGGACCGGGACCGGGACCGGGACCGGGACCGGGGCCGGGACCGGGACCGGGGCCGGGAGGAGGGGCGGGCUGCGGCGGGAGGAGGACCGGGUCCUGGAAGCCGGAAGCCGCCAGCCGCCAGCCGCCAGCCGCCCCGCCUCGCGCCGGAAGUCCCGCUGGCGGCAAAGUUAACGGCAGUGGUUGGCGCGUCCGCGUCGGAGUCGCUGGUUCUCGAGGCUGCCGGCUGCGCGCCCCCUGCCCCCACCGAAGCUGACGUGCCCGCGCGGACCCGGGGAGCGUCCGCCGUCCCGGGGCGCUGUGGACGUGACUUCGGGGAGCUGGCUGUCCUGGUCCCAGCCUGCUCCGCCUCCCCGGUGACUGCGUCGGGGUGUGCAGAAUCAGCGGUGGGCCCGCUGGGAGAUGCGACACCGGGAAGGAAGGCUCUGGGUGGCAGGCCAAACCCCGUGCCUCUGAAGUCGGAGUUUGCUUCCCAUCCAGUGGAAGGCGAGGGCCCUCCGGAUGAAAAAGUCUCAGUUUCAAAUUGUAAUCCUCUCCAGAAGGAAGUUUCACCAAAGCAGACAACUCUUUUUCUGAAAAUUCCACAUUUACAUUAUUCUUCUGAACAUUCUUGA